rnacentral:rRNA from 1 species
UACAGAGACUGCAAGCGUUAUUCGGAUUCACUGGGCGUAAAGGGUGCGCAGGCGGCCGUGUGUGUGAGGCGUGAAAGCCCGGGGCUUAACCCCGGAAUUGCACCUCAAACUACAUGGCUAGAGCAUUGGAGAGGGUAGCAGAAUUCAUGGUGUAGCAGUGAAAUGCGUAGAUAUCAUGAGGAAUACCAGAGGCGAAGGCGGCUGCCUGGACAAUUGCUGACGCUCAGGCACGAAAGCGUGGGGAGCAAAAGGG